CUUGUUGGUGGGGUGAUGGNNUNNNNNNGNNACNACNGGUAGCCGGCCUGAGAGGGUGACCGGCCACNCUGGGACUGAGAUACGGCCCANACUCCUACGGGAGGCAGCAGUGGGGAAUAUUGCACAAUGGGCGCAAGCCUGAUGCAGCGACGCCGCGUGGGGGAUGACGGCCUUCGGGUUGUAAACCCCUUUCAGCACAGACGAAGCGCGAGUGACGGUAUGUGCAGAAGAAGGACCGGCCAACUACGUGCCAGCAGCCGCGGUAAUACGUAGGGUCCGAGCGUUGUCCGGAAUUACUGGGCGUAAAGAGCUCGUAGGUGGUUUGUCGCGUUGUUCGUGAAAACUCACAGCUCAACUGUGGGCGUGCGGGCGAUACGGGCAGACUAGAGUACUGCAGGGGAGACUGGAAUUCCUGGUGUAGCGGUGGAAUGCGCAGAUAUCAGGAGGAACACCGGUGGCGAAGGCGGGUCUCUGGGCAGUAACUGACGCUGAGGAGCGAAAGCGUGGGGAGCGAACAGGAUUAGAUACCCUGGUAGUCCACGCCGUAAACGGUGGGUACUAGGUGUGGGUUUCCUUCCUUGGGAUCCGUGCCGUAGCUAACGCAUUAAGUACCCCGCCUGGGGAGUACGGCCGCAAGGCUAAAACUCAAAGAAAUUGACGGGGGCCCGCACAAGCGGCGGAGCAUGUGGAUUAAUUCGAUGCAACGCGAAGAACCUUACCUGGGUUUGACAUGCACAGGACGUGCCUAGAGAUAGGUAUUCCCUUGUGGCCUGUGUGCAGGUGGUGCAUGGCUGUCGUCAGCUCGUGUCGUGAGAUGUUGGGUUAAGUCCCGCAACGAGCGCAACCCUUGUCUUAUGUUGCCAGCACGUGAUGGUGGGGACUCGUAAGAGACUGCCGGGGUCAACUCGGAGGAAGGUGGGGAUGACGUCAAGUCAUCAUGNCCNUUAUNUCCANGNNUUCACACNUGCUACAAUGGCCGGUACAAA
rnacentral:rRNA from 1 species